UACCUGGUUGAUUCUGCCAUUAGUCAUAUGCUUGUCUCAAAGAUUAAGCCAUGCAUGUCUAAGUAUAAGCAAUUAUACCGUGAAACUGCGAAUGGCUCAUUAAAUCAGUUAUCGUUUAUUUGAUAAUACCUUACUACUUGGAUAACCGUGGUAAUUCUAGAGCUAAUACAUGCUGAAAAUCCCGACUUCGGAAGGGAUGUGUUUAUUAGAUAAAAAACCAAUGCCCUUCGGGGCUUUUUGGUGAUUCAUGAUAACUUUACGGAUCGCAUAGCCUUGCGCUGGCGACGGUUCAUUCAAAUUUCUGCCCUAUCAACUUUCGAUGGUAAGGUAUUGGCUUACCAUGGUUUCAACGGGUAACGGGGAAUUAGGGUUCGAUUCCGGAGAGGGAGCCUGAGAAACGGCUACCACAUCCAAGGAAGGCAGCAGGCGCGCAAAUUACCCAAUCCCGACACGGGGAGGUAGUGACAAUAAAUACUGAUACAGGGCUCUUUUGGGUCUUGUAAUUGGAAUGAGUACAAUUUAAACCUCUUAACGAGGAACAAUUGGAGGGCAAGUCUGGUGCCAGCAGCCGCGGUAAUUCCAGCUCCAAUAGCGUAUAUUAAAGUUGUUGCAGUUAAAAAGCUCGUAGUUGAAACUUGGGUCUGGCUGGCGGGUCCGCCUCACCGCGUGCACUCGUCCGGCCGGGCCUUCCUUCUGAAGAACCUCAUGCCCUUCACUGGGCGUGUUGGGGAAUCAGGACUUUUACUUUGAAAAAAUUAGAGUGUUCAAAGCAGGCCUUUGCUCGAAUACGUUAGCAUGGAAUAAUAAAAUAGGGCGUGCGUUUCUAUUUUGUUGGUUUCUAGAGACGCCGCAAUGAUUAACAGGAACAGUCGGGGGCAUCAGUAUUCAGUUGUC
rnacentral:rRNA from 1 species